rnacentral:rRNA from 1 species
GCUAAUACCGCAUAAGUCCUGAGGGAGAAAGCAGGGGAUCGCAAGACCUUGCGCGAAUGGAGCGGCCGAUGUCGGAUUAGCUAGUUGGUGGGGUAAAGGCCCACCAAGGCGACGAUCCGUAGCUGGUCUGAGAGGACGACCAGCCACACUGGGGCUGAGACACGGCCCAGACUCCUACGGGAGGCAGCAGUGGGGAAUUUUGGACAAUGGGCGAAAGCCUGAUCCAGCCAUGCCGCGUGAGUGAAGAAGGCCUUCGGGUUGUAAAGCUCUUUCGGACAGAAAGAAAUCUCUUGGGCUAAUACCCUGAGAGGAUGACGGUACUGUAAGAAGAAGCACCGGCUAACUACGUGCCAGCAGCCGCGGUAAUACGUAGGGUGCGAGCGUUAAUCGGAAUUACUGGGCGUAAAGGGUGCGCAGGCGGUUAUAUAAGACAGAUGUGAAAUCCCCGGGCUCAACCUGGGAACUGCGUUUGUGACUGUAUAACUAGAGUACGGUAGAGAGGGGUGGAAUUCCUGGUGUAGCAGUGAAAUGCGUAGAUAUCAGGAGGAACAUCGAUGGCGAAGGCGGCCCCUUGGACCUGUACUGACGCUCAUGCACGAAAGCGUGGGGAGCAAACAGGAUUAGAUACCCUGGUAGUCCACGCCCUAAACGAUGAUCACUAGUUGUUCGGA